GAACGAAGCUGGAGCGAAGCCUGGCGUACCCACCUCCUCCUCAAGCUUCAGAUUCCACGUGAAAAAAAGUCAUUUUGCAGUCAUUCUGUCUCUCUGACUUGUGCAGUCCCCGUAGUUACACAGACAAAGAGUGAAAGGCCCGCAGAAAAGCCGCGAGUGAACGAGCGAAACCCUCCAGGCCCAGAGUGACCAGGACUUGGUAUGGAGCAUUUCCACCCAUCAGAGUGACAAGACUCUUAAAGAUCGACUAAAACAAUGUUUUCAAAAGAUGUGCGGAUGAAGGCACAGUGGGGAGCUAUGUGGAAGUUACUACACAAUAAAAGCAUCAAUGCUAGACACCUGUGGCCUUACCAGCGUGCUGACGCCGCACCUGGAGUGUGUGUGAGUGGGCACCUGACCUGGAGGCUGCACGCAGAAGCGUGGCAGCGGGGGCAGAGAGCGACGACCGGAGCAUGGGAGCAGAGGGCCACGCAGAACAGUGCCACAGAGACCAGCGAGGGGACCACUAGCAGCCUCCAGGCCCCGUCCCUGCCUGCCCGGCGCCUGGGUGCCUCACUCCAGGCCUGAAAAAGCCACUGAGGAUGCCAGGACUCCUGCUUUACCUGUCUGCCCGGAUCACAGAAAAACUGCCCCGUGCCCUGCUGGUACUACAAGGCUCUGUUGCCUGCCUGCCCAUGGCCCCCUGCCUGGCCUGUGCUGCCUCCCUGACCAUGCGCUUGGGUCCCUGAGAGCACUGAAGUCUGAACAGCCCAUGUGGCCGGACUCUUGAUCCCACCCGAAUCCACAGCCCGGUGCCCGUGGGCACCGCCGUGACCCAUGCGCUGGAACUAUUGAGAAGAUGCUACGUGGAAUCCCAUUGCCUGAGUUGGCCGGAAGGUAACCUAUGACCUGGGGAAAAGCCUUGGGCUGUACAGGAGGGAAGAGAGGCAGAGGCGAUCACAGCUGCUCUUUUGUGAAUAACUUUGUUGCAGCAAUCAAAGUACCUGCGCCCUCAGGACACACCCAGGCAAGACACAGUCUGGCAAACUAUGGCCUGUUUCUAUGAGACCCACAAGG